rnacentral:tRNA from 1 species
GAGUGUAGCUCAGUGGUAGAGUGCCUGCCUCACAUGUGUGAGGCACUGGGUUCAAUCAUCAGCACCA